CCUACGGGGGGCAGCAGUGGGGAAUAUUGGACAAUGGGCGAAAGCCUGAUCCAGCCAUGCCGCGUGUGUGAAGAAGGCCUUCGGGUUGUAAAGCACUUUCAGUGGGGAAGAAAGCCUUGUGGCUAAUACCCUCGAGGAAGGACAUCACCCACAGAAGAAGCACCGGCUAACUCCGUGCCAGCAGCCGCGGUAAUACGGAGGGUGCGAGCGUUAAUCGGAAUUACUGGGCGUAAAGCGCGCGUAGGCGGUCUGAUAAGCCGGUUGUGAAAGCCCCGGGCUCAACCUGGGAACGGCAUCCGGAACUGUCAGGCUAGAGUGCAGGAGAGGAAGGUAGAAUUCCCGGUGUAGCGGUGAAAUGCGUAGAGAUCGGGAGGAAUACCAGUGGCGAAGGCGGCCUUCUGGACUGACACUGACGCUGAGGUGCGAAAGCGUGGGUAGCAAACAGGAUUAGAUACCCGGGUAGUC
rnacentral:rRNA from 1 species